rnacentral:piRNA from 1 species
GAAGGAUGUGUGGCUCCUGACAGCC